UAAUACAGAGGGUGCGAGCGUUGUCCGGAAUCACUGGGCGUAAAGGGCGCGUAGGCGGCUCAGUAAGGUUGCGGUGAAAGCCCGGGGCUCAACCCCGGGUCGGCCGUGGCAACUGCUGGGCUGGAGCACUGUAGAGGCAGGUGGAAUUCCGGGUGUAGCGGUGGAAUGCGUAGAGAUCCGGAAGAACACCGGUGGCGAAGGCGGCCUGCUGGGCAGUAGCUGACGCUGAGGCGCGACAGCGUGGGGAGCAAACAGGAUUAGAUACCCUGGUAGUCCACGCCGUAAACGAUGGGCACUAGGUGCUUGGGGGAGCGACCCUCCGAGUGCCGGCGCUAACGCAUUAAGUGCCCCGCCUGGGGAGUACGGCCGCAAGGCUG
rnacentral:rRNA from 1 species